UGUUUACAUAUGAACUGAAGUUAUGACGGAGAAUACUUGAAAGAUUAGGCACAUCUGCCGGAUACUUUGAAAUGAUUCAACAAGAGUCUGUGUGUAUUUAUUGAUGUAAUAAUGUGUUUUGGACUAAAUAUUUUACUUGAUUGGAUCGUUUGGACCUUUGCCAAUGUAACGACCGUUUUUGUCGGGAUAUUAUGGAUCAGUGGACAACUAUGAGGCUUCAUAAGUACAAAUCCUCGUUUUGCCCUUCUCCGGCUGCAGCCACAGAUAACUUCAGAUAACUGCAGCAUGUUAUAACUUCUCUUUCCCGUAAUAGGAAUGAAUUCACGGGACAAUCAAUGAAUUGAAAACCACUCUUUGAACAUAUACGCACAGAAGAAAGAAAGUCAUACACAUUUGGGAUGGCAUGAGGUGGAGAGGAGGCGUCCUAUGCUGGAUUCACUCUAGUGGAGCGCUACUGCAGGCAUCGAUGGAGGCGAGGCGAGAGGAAAAGACAAGCCGGCACACUUAUUUCUCCUCCCCCAGUGACAGCACUGAGUAAUGACUGAUCUCAUGUUAGUCUGGCACUGUUUUCCAUUAUCUGGGAAAAGUUCAACUUCGCAUGACAUCUCUGAUUAGUCAGAACUUCUGCUCCAUCAGGACUGAGGCUGAAAACUCCCUCCUGUCACUUUGCCAAUGUGCAAGAAAGACCUCCAGCACUGAGAUCCAUCUCAUGGCUGCUCUGGGCUGACUGCCUGGCCGUCCUGCCUGCCUGCCCAGGCCAGAUGCAGCGCUGCCAGAUGGAGGAGCUAAUCACUGUAGCAGCAGGCAGCGCGGCCGCUUCUGAUCUGAACGUGUUUAGGUAGCCCAUGGGGCCGGCUUCCGUGUGUUUAUUCACCCUCUUUCUCUCACAUCAUCUUGUGGCUGUCUUUCCCUGUUGCUUUUUGAAUCUUAGUUUCUGGUAAGCAUUUUUCAGUAGCUUGAUAAAUCAUGUAUGCUUCAUGCACCAUGGCAAUAACAUGGCAUUGUUUAAAGUAUUUCAGUAAAACUAUGGUAAAUUAAUAUGGUUCAUCCAGUACCAUUGUAUAUAUCAAAGUACCAUAGCACUACCAUGUAAUAUAAUCACUGUACCAUAAUACCACCAUAGUACUUUUGAUAAGGUUAAUUAAAAGAAACAUUGUUAAAAAAAAAAAAAAAAAAGCAAAAUAUUUUCAGAAUAUUACCUCUACAAUCUUACAAACUAAAAGUCAACCAAAUAAGACAAGACUGAAGGCCAACCAUAUUAUUUUAUUGAUUAAAUCCUUGUCAAUUCUUUGUAGUCCUGCCUGCAGUCAAAUAUUGUGUUUGUUUUGGAUCAAGAGAGUUGCACAAGCACUGAUUGAAUAUGAA